rnacentral:rRNA from 1 species
AGGAGCAUGUGGUUAAUUCGAUGAUACGCGAGGAACCUUACCUGGGCUCGAACGUAAGAUGACUGUAGGUGAAAGCUUACAUCUCUUCGGAGCAUUUUACGAGGUGCUGCAUGGUUGUCGUCAGCUCGUGCCGUGAGGUGUCGGGUUAAGUCCCAUAACGAGCGCAACCCCUACCUUUAGUUGCCAUCAGGUAAUGCUGGGGACUCUAAAGGAACUGCCUACGCAAGUAGUGAGGAAGGCGGGGAUGACGUCAAAUCAGCACGGCCCUUACGUCCAGGGCUACACACGUGCUACAAUGGCCGAUACAGAGGGCAGCUACCUGGUGACAGGAUGCAAAUCUCCAAAGUCGGUCUCAGUUCGGAUCGGAGUCUGCAACCCGACUCCGUGAAGUUGGAUUCGCUAGUAAUCGCGCAUCAGCCAUGGCGCGGUGAAUACGUUCCCGGGCCUU